AGUGUGUGUUCGGCUGAACGGAUGGUCUGGAUGUAUUUCAACUUUCAACGUUCAGCUAUAAUUUUUUCCUACAGAGUAAUCUGCACUAAUUUUCUCCAUUCCACCGAUGUGUUUGUGUUUUGCGGGUAAAUUUCCAUAAUUUCUUUCCCUGUGUAACCACAUUUAAACAUGCAGCCUCCUCCGAGAAAGGUAAAAGUCACACAAGAGGUGAAACACACUCACACAGAGCAGCUGAAUCGACUACAGCUCAAACACCAGACAGACUGGGACUUUCUGGAAGAUCUGAGGACGUACAGCCAGAAGAAAGCCCUAAUAGAGAAAGAUUACUCACAAG